GUCGGUUGUUCGCUCAUCAGAUUACACAUCCCUCGUCUCUCACAGCCUCUCUUUCCACGCAACAACAACAAAAAAAAACCUAAUCCACAGCUGGCUCAGAGUUCAGACGACACGAUUCGCCGGCGGUGGGGUGGGCGAAAGGCUGGAGCGGUUGGUGGUGGGUGGGUGGGUCAAGACUCAAGAGCAAGCAGAAACCAGUCGCCUGGUCACCGCGCGGCGGCGGCGGGCGCGGUGCAGCGGCGCAGGCAGAAGUCGGGGACGCGGUCCAUGCACUGGUACACCGGCGGGUCGGCGCUGAGGCUGGACUUGACGCAGUCCCUGCAGGCCGGGUGGCACCCGCGGGGCGCCGCGUCCAGGCACCGGCACAGCCGUGGCUCCGACCUGGUGCAGCCGCCGCAGCUGUCGCAGCACGGCCACGCGCGCGCCGCCGCCUUCCCCCGGCUCGCCAGCUCCCCUCCUCCUCCUCCUCCUGAUGCUGCUCCCUGCCCUGAAACCGCAGACCGAUUCGGAACCCCGUGAGCCAGCCAGACUGAAUAACCGAAAGGACAAAUCUUGAACUAGUUAAGCUUUCCUACAUACCUCUGCUUUGAACGUGGGAGUGGUGGUGGUGGUGCCUGUUGCUGGAUCGCGCGAGCACGGUGAGAAGGGCGAUCGUGAGGAAGAACAGCGCUUGGCUCCUCAUUUCCGACCGUCUCUGGGAGAAUUUGGUCGCGACCGUUUGGCAAAUGCUACGCGAGGGUAGCUAAAAAUAUGAUAACUCGAGGGAGCUACGCGCAAAAGAGGGUGACCGGUGAAUGGCAGUUGAUAAGUCCGAGCGUGGUGGCUGUUUCACAUGCGGAAAUGAGUCACCCAAGAUAAGAUCGAGAGCGCCACUGUGGUGGCCCCACGCCGACAUGUCCAUCCAGCCCUCGUCCGGAUGUCCUGCGCCGGCGGCCACACCCUUCUCACACGGUCGAAUCUGGUUGAGAGCAAAGGAAAUCGAAGGUGGAGGGGAAAAAGUCGGUCGACAUGAUCUAUGAAGGAGCGGUGGUCCGAUGACGCAACCUAUCAGCUGUGGGACAACAUUGGUCCAAUGAUGGAGGAGAAGCUUGUGUUACGCACGUUGAACCUAGUUACCUCGCUAUAUGCAGG
rnacentral:misc_RNA from 1 species